rnacentral:rRNA from 1 species
AAAAUUUUAAAAGUCGAACAGACUUAUAAUUUAAGCUUCUACACCUAAAACUAAUUUUAAUCCAACAUCGAGGUCGCAAUCUUUUUUAUUAAUAUGAACUCUAAAAAAAAAUAACGCUG